UACCAGCUCUCCGAGUGGUAGGGAUGAUUAUUGGGCUUAAAGCGUCCGUAGCCGGCUUGGCAAGUUUCCUGUUAAACUCUGCGACUUAAUCGUUGAAUCGCGGGAAAUACUACUAGGCUAGGAGGCGGGAGAGGUCAACGGUACUUCUGGGGUAGGGGUGAAAUCCUAUAAUCCCGGGAGGACCACCAGUGGCGAAGGCUGUUGACUAGAGCGCGCUCGACGGUGAGGGACGAAAGCUGGGGGAGCGAACCGGAUUAGAUACCCGGGUAGUCCCAGCUGUAAACGAUGCGGGCUAGGUGUUGGGAUGGCUACGUGCCAUUUCAGUGCCGCAGGGAAGCCAUUAAGCCCGCCGCCUGGGGAGUACGGCCGCAAGGCUGAAACUUAAAGGAAUUGGCGGGGAGCACCACAAGGCGUGAAGCUUGCGGUUC
rnacentral:rRNA from 1 species